GAUGAACGCUAGCGGCAGGCUUAAUACAUGCAAGUCGUGGGGCAGCAUGAGUAGCAAUACUUGAUGGCGACCGGCAAACGGGUGAGGAACACGUACACAACCUUCCCUUCAAGCGGGGAAUAGCCCAGAGAAAUUUGGAUUAAUACCCCAUAAUAUAUUUGAUAAGGCAUCUUAUUAAUAUUAAAGCUUCGGCACUUGAUGAUGGGUGUGCGGCUGAUUAGAUAGUUGGCGGGUAACGGCCCACCAAGUCUACGAUCAGUAGCUGAUGUGAGAGCAUGAUCAGCCACACGGGCACUGAGACACGGGCCCGAUCCUACGGGAGGCAGCAGUAAGGAAUAUUGGACAAUGGACGAAAGUCUGAUCCAGCCAUGCCGCGUGAA
rnacentral:rRNA from 1 species